AAAAAUCAGUUUUGGUAUCAACGUAGAUUUCAUCGUCAUUUGGGCUUCUCCCAUUAACCCUGGUUGUAAAACCGGGGUUUUU
rnacentral:ncRNA from 1 species